UGCAGUCGAGCGGCAGCGCGGGGGCAACCCUGGCGGCGAGCGGCGAACGGGUGAGUAAUACAUCGGAACGUACCCCGUAGUGGGGGAUAACUCAGCGAAAGCUGGGCUAAUACCGCAUAUGCUCUACGGAGGAAAGUGGGGGACCUGCAAGGGCCUCAUGCUAUGGGAGCGGCCGAUGUCCGAUUAGCUAGUUGGUGGGGUAAAGGCUUACCAAGGCGACGAUCGGUAGCUGGUCUGAGAGGAUGAUCAGCCACACUGGGACUGAGACACGGCCCAGACUCCUACGGGAGGCAGCAGUGGGGAAUUUUGGACAAUGGGGGCAACCCUGAUCCAGCCAUGCCGCGUGCGGGAAGAAGGCCUUCGGGUUGUAAACCGCUUUUGUCUGGGAAGAAAAGGCGCUCUCUAAUACGGGGCGUUCUUGACGGUACUGGAAGAAUAAGCACCGGCUAACUACGUGCCAGCAGCCGCGGUAAUACGUAGGGUGCGAGCGUUAAUCGGAAUUACUGGGCGUAAAGCGUGCGCAGGCGGUUUGUUAAGUCUGCUGUGAAAGCCCCGGGCUCAACCUGGGAAUGGCAGUGGAAACUGGCGAGCUGGAGUGUGGCAGAGGGGGGUGGAAUUCCACGUGUAGCAGUGAAAUGCGUAGAGAUGUGGAGGAACACCGAUGGCGAAGGCAGCCCCCUGGGCUGACACUGACGCUCAGGCACGAAAGCGUGGGGAGCAAACAGGAUUAGAUACCCUGUAGUCCACGCCCUAAACGAUGGCCACUGGGUGUUGGGGGAGCGAUUCCUCAGUACCGUAGCUAACGCGUGAAGUGGCCCGCCUGGGGAGUACGGCGCAAGGUUAAAACUCAAAGGAAUUGACGGGGACCGCACAAGCGG
rnacentral:rRNA from 1 species